rnacentral:rRNA from 1 species
UACGGAGGAUCCAAGCGUUAUCCGGAAUCAUUGGGUUUAAAGGGUGCGUAGGCGGGUAUGUAAGUCAGUGGUGAAAUCCUGGAGCUUAACUCCAGAACUGCCAUUGAUACUAUAUAUCUUGAAUAUUGUGGAGGUUUGCGGAAUAUGUCAUGUAGCGGUGAAAUGCUUAGAUAUGACAUAGAACACCUAUUGCGAAGGCAGCAGGCUACACAUAUAUUGACGCUGAGGCACGAAAGCGUGGGGAUCAAACAGG